rnacentral:rRNA from 1 species
ACGGAAGGCAGCAGUCGGGAAUAUUGCGCAAUGGAGGAAACUCUGACGCAGUGACGCCGCGUGCAGGAAGAAGGUUUUCGGAUUGUAAACUGCUUUAGACAGGGAAGAACAAAGACAGUACCUGUAGAAUAAGCUCCGGCUAAUUACGUGCCAGCAGCCGCGGUAAUACGUAGGGAGCGAGCGUUAUCCGGAAUUAUUGGGUGGAAAGGGUGCGUAGACGGGAAAUUAAGUUAGUUGUGAAAUCCCUCGGCUCAACUGAGGAACUACAACUAAAACUGAUUUUCUUGAGUACUGGAGAGGAAAGUGGAAUUUCUAGUGUAGCGGUAAAAUGCGUAGAUAUUAGGAGGAACACCAGUGGCGAAGGGGACUUUCUGGACAGCAACUGACGUUGAGGCACGAAAGUGUGGGGAGCAAACAGGAUUAGAUUACCCUGGUA